rnacentral:rRNA from 1 species
CCGGCGAGGGGAGUGAAAAAGAACCUGAAACCGUGUACGUACAAGCAGUGGGAGCACGCUUAGGCGUGUGACUGCGUACCUUUUGUAUAAUGGGUCAGCGACUUAUAUUCUGUAGCAAGGUUAACCGAAUAGGGGAGCCGAAGGGAAACCGAGUCUUAACUGGGCGUUAAGUUGCAGGGUAUAGACCCGAAACCCGGUGAUCUAGCCAUGGGCAGGUUGAAGGUUGGGUAACACUAACUGGAGGACCGAACCGACUAAUGUUGAAAAAUUAGCGGAUGACUUGUGGCUGGGGGUGAAAGGCCAAUCAAACCGGGAGAUAGCUGGUUCUCCCCGAAAGCUAUUUAGGUAGCGCCUCGUGAAUUCAUCUCCGGGGGUAGAGCACUGUUUCGGCAAGGGGGUCAUCCCGACUUACCAACCCGAUGCAAACUGCGAAUACCGGAGAAUGUUAUCACGGGAGACACACGGCGGGUGCUAACGUCCGUCGUGAAGAGGGAAACAACCCAGACCGCCAGCUAAGGUCCCAAAGUCAUGGUUAAGUGGGAAACGAUGUGGGAAGGCCCAGACAGCCAGGAUGUUGGCUUAGAAGCAGCCAUCAUUUAAAGAAAGCGUAAUAGCUCACUGGUCGAGUCGGCCUGCGCGGAAGAUGUAACGGGGCUAAACCAUGCACCGAAGCUGCGGCAGCGACGCUUAUGCGUUGUUGGGUAGGGGAGCGUUCUGUAAGCCUGUGAAGGUGUGCUGUGAGGCAUGCUGGAGGUAUCAGAAGUGCGAAUGCUGACAUAAGUAACGAUAAAGCGGGUGAAAAGCCCGCUCGCCGGAAGACCAAGGGUUCCUGUCCAACGUUAAUCGGGGCAGGGUGAGUCGACCCCUAAGGCGAGGCCGAAAGGCGUAGUCGAUGGGAAACAGGUUAAUAUUCCUGUACUUGGUGUUACUGCGAAGGGGGGACGGAGAAGGCUAUGUUGGCCGGGCGACGGUUGUCCCGGUUUAAGCGUGUAGGCUGGUUUUCCAGGCAAAUCCGGAAAAUCAAGGCUGAGGCGUGAUGACGAGGCACUACGGUGCUGAAGCAACAAAUGCCCUGCUUCCAGGAAAAGC